UCAAGUCCAGCGCAGAGGUCAGCCUU
rnacentral:piRNA from 1 species